CCGCAGCGAACUAUGCCAUCAUCGACGCUGUGCAGACCGAGAGGAAUGCCGUGCUCCACGUCGUCGAUCUCGGCGGCGCUGACCCCAGCCAGUGGCUUCUGCUCCUCCGCUUCUUUGCCAAGCGUCCUGGGGCGAGCGCACACCACCAAAUCCUCCGUCUGACCAUUGUGAACGAGGAGGACGAGUUCCUGUCCAGCACCGCUGCGCUCCUCGCCUUGGAAGCCGAGCACCUCCACGUCGGCUUCCAGUUCCACCCGGUGAAACUCCAUAUCAAUCAGCUGAACAGCAUCGAGCCCCUCGGUGUCAGGAGCGGCGAAGCAUUGGUCAUCGUCUCCACCUUACAGCUCCACCGUCUGCUUGCCGACGAGUUUGCAGAAGGGGCUACUCGUCCUCAUGACAGGAAAGGAAAAGCGCAGGCGCAUGCUACCAUGACGAGGGCCGACGCGCUCCUCCGGGACCUAGCUGAGAUAUCGCCGAAGCUUAUGGUAGUGACGGAGCAGGAGGCCAAGCACAACGGCGUGGAGUUCAGGGACCGGUUCGGGAAUGCGCUCAAGUACUACGGGGCUCUGUUCGACGCCCUGGAGGAGAGCGUACCUACGCGCGGGUCGGCAAUGGAGCGUGAAGGAGUGGAACGGUGCCUGCUACUGGACGAGAUCAGGGAUAUCAUUGCAUAUGACGGCGCCCAGCGCCGGGAAUGCCACGACCCGAUGUCGCGGUGGGCGCCGCGGACGGAAGCUGCAGGAUUCGUGACUGUGCCGAUGAGCCCCGGCAACGUGGCGCAAACGGCGAUCCUAGGACGUAUGUUGGCCAGUGGUAGCAGGGCGUACAGGGUAUGCAGUGAGAAUGAAGACGGGUGCCUCUUCAUCUACCGGGACGACGUUCCGAUGUUCUCCGUCUCGACUUGGCGCACGGUGUGA
rnacentral:rRNA from 1 species